CGUAGGGUGCGAGCGUUGUCCGGAUUUAUUGGGCGUAAAGGGCUCGUAGGUGGUUUGAUCGCGUCGGAAGUGUAAUCUUGGGGGCUUAACCCUGAGCGUGCUUUCGUAUACGGGUUGACUUGAGGAAGGUAGGGGAGAAUGGAAUUCCUGGUGGAGCGGUGGAAUGCCGCAGAUAUCCAGGAGGAACACCAGUGGCGAAGGCGGUUCUCUGGGGCCUUUCCUGACGCUGAGGAGCGAAAGCGUGGGGAGCGAACAGGCUU
rnacentral:rRNA from 1 species